AUUGAACGCUGGCGGCAGGCCUAACACAUGCAAGUCGAGCGGAGCGGCGGACGGGUGAGUACUGCCUAGGAAUCUGCCUGGUAGUGGGGGAUAACGUCCGGUAACGGGCGCUAAGACCGCUUACUAUCACAUGAGCCUAGGGCGGAUUAGCUAGUUGGUGGGGUAAAGGCCUACCAAGGCGACGAUCCGUAACUGGUCUGAGAGGAUGAUCAGUCACACUGGAACUGAGACACGGUCCAGACUCCUACGGGAGGCAGCAGUGGGUAAUAUUUGACAAUGGGCGAAAGCCUGAUGCAGCCAUGCCGCGUGUAUGAAGAAGGUCUUCGGAUUGUAAAGCACUUUAAGUUGGGAGGCGUUACCAGCAGAAUAAGCACCGGCUAACUUCGUGCCAGCAGCCGCGGUAAUAC
rnacentral:rRNA from 1 species